AGCUUUCUUCAUUGUCCAUUGCUCCCUCUCUCAUCCCAAGGCCAAUCAUCAUCUCUCCCUCCACCCUUCCUCCUUUUCUUUUCCUUUAUUUUUCACUUCUUCUUGAUUAGAACGGUGGAAAGUAGACAUGCAAUCCUCUUGCUUGUUGUUAGUGCAUCACAUCUGUCCCUGAGUAGUAGUAGCAGUAGAAGAGGAAGGAAGGAAAAAAAGGGAAAAGAAAAGAAAGG